UAUAGGUUUGGUCCCAGCCUUCCUGUUAACUUUCAAUAGACUUAUACAUGCAAGCAUCCACGCCCCGGUGAGUAACGCCCUUCGAAUCACACAGGACUAAAAGGAGCAGGUAUCAAGCACACACUCUUGUAGCUCACAACGCCUUGCUUAACCACACCCCCACGGGAGACAGCAGUAACAAAAAUUAAGCCAUAAACGAAAGUUUGAUUAAGCCAUAUUGAUUAGGGUUGGUAAAUCUCGUGCCAGCCACCGCGGUCAUACGAUUGACCCAAGCUAACAGGAGUACGGCGUAAAGCGUGUUAAAGCAUCAUACUAAAUAGAGUUAAAUUUUAAUUAAACUGUAAAAAGCCAUAAUUAUAACAAAAAUAAAUGACGAAAGUAACCCUACAAUAGCUGAUACACCAUAGUUAAGACCCAAACUGGGAUUAGAUACCCCACUAUGCUUAGCCCUAAACACAAAUAAUUAU
rnacentral:rRNA from 1 species